GUGUUCAAUCGAGCAUGGCAAGCACUUGCUUACUUGCAGAAAAGAUGACAUCACUAGCUAGCUCGACCAGUUAGGUGCCGUCAGCUCUUCAAAAUAAUCCACUUCUCAGACAAGCCUCACGCUACGAACAUUCAACUCUAUUGUUCCGGGUCCCCAUUUCAACACACUUGGACGGACGUCCUUGUUUAACAUUCUGCUGACUUCACAUGCUCAGAAUAGCAUGCCCUGCUUGUUUAACCGCAAAGAUCGCCGAUUUAAAUGUAGUUUGGGAUGUGAAGGUGGCAUGGGGUUCAUUGGUGGAAGUGCAACAAAAUUUGAUGUUUCAGGCCCAGGUGGGGAUGAUCGCUGAAGCUCUUGGUUCCUGUCAUCGCUGGCUUGGUAGCUUUCUGGGUCCGGCUCGGUGUCUGCGCUGCUGCUAGUUGAAGGCUGUCCACCGUCAGACUUGUCAACGGGCGACACUUGGUGCACCAGCCAUGCGUUCAGCUGCGUGGGGAACCGCGGAGAGCCCAGAGUCCGAACCUCCUCCAGAAGCCGGCGACUUGCAAAAAAGUAGUCCAAUUCGGGGCAUUUGGGGUGCACGGUGUAUCCCCCGAGAGUGUCUCUUAAGUUAUGGAAGGGCGUCUGGGUGUAGGCUGAGCUGGGACCCAAGUUAAUUUCAAUCAGAGGCGAGUAGUAGCCGCUCAAGUAGCUGUCGAUGUCCACGCGAACUCCAAUCAAACUGAGCAGGAUGGUCAACUGAAUCAGGCCUUCUGUGAAGUAUUUUUUCGCGACUUGCAUUUUCUAAAUACGUUGGCGCUGCGAAUAAAUAUGUAAUGCUGGCUUCAACAGUUCCUCUUUUUUCCCCCCGAGCGGACAAAGGGAAAAGCCUGAACAAUGAGCACGCCUUCCCCUGUCAGACAAAGAGGUCCGCCUGUACCGGCGAACUCGUUGGUUAGCAAACGCUAUGCUAGGUACUAAGCUACCAGCUUUAUGACCAAUUACCGUAAACCCCUUGGAACAAACAUAGCGAAACACGCUUCCUUUCAAUCCCUUGUAGUAGACCGCUUGUCGUUUUAAUGUUCAAAGCCCAAAGACGUCAUUAAUGUUAACAUAAAGUGCGCUGUCGAUUAAGCUCAAUGCGGAUAACCAAAGAGUGCUCCACAGAAAAAAAAACUUCGACAAAAUUUGCAUAACUAAGGAGAUUGGGUUAUAGACUUGACUAUAGCAAGAGCUGAUUGGGUAAUGUGGCCGUCUGUCACAGAUUUACCCAAUGACAUUUCCUCCUUGACAACUAAUCCGCCCUCCCCUGCAACCGAAAACGACAAAUAUUUAGAUUUUAUUAAA